AAACCCGAAACAAAAUGGUUGCCGACCCUUGUUAGCCCAUUAACCCGAUACAGUUUUAGUCCUUUGCUCCGAUUGACUGCAGCACGCAGCAGCAUUCAUUUCCAAAUCACAUUCGCGAAUCCUCUCAAUCAACGACCAGCAAAGGAUAAAAAUGGGAUUCAUAAUGGAAUUUGCGGAGAACUUGAUAUUGAGAUUAAUGGAGGAUCCGAAGGAGAGAGAUCGCAAGUUUCGGGAACACGUCUACGCUACAAAGGAGAGGUGCAGCAAGACUAGAGAGAUGUGGAGUUAUCCGCUGCGUCCUUAUGGUUUCUGGACAUUUGAUCGGCACAAUGCUCAGAACUUCUGGGACCCACAGAUCAGCCAAGUCCCCGGCCGCCGCGAUCCUUAUGAUGACCUCCUUCAGGACGGCGCCUCUACUUCCAAAUGAGUUUUUGGAUAGCCAGGAGAGGUUAGCAAAGGAGCUCUUUUACAGUACAAUCCAGAUUAUUUCUAAUGUGUAUUAUCUGGUUUCUAAACAUUCUCCAUGCUCGACUAGUGGAACAAUUGAAUAAAUCAUGAUGUUAUCAAUGAUGUCAAAGGUACCUUAUUCAUAAGGAUAUUUAGCUUUUGUUGUUUAAAAUUUGCAUUUGGAUGAUCAAAUCCUUAUUUUGAUGAAUCUGUGAGGCUGUAUUAUUCGCCUCGGUUCUGCUUAUCUCAUGAUGCUAAAGUUGAAGCUGUGCA